UUACGACCAUAUAGCAUUGAAACACCAGUUACCGUACGAUCAUCAAAGUUAAGCAACUUUGAGCUUGGUCAGUACAUAGAUGGGUGACCACUUGG